GAAAUGCGAUAAGUAGUGUGAAUUGCAGAAUUCAGUGAAUCAUCGAAUCUUUGAACGCACAUUGCGCCCCUUGGUAUUCCAUGGGGCAUGCCUGUUCGAGCGUCAUUUGUACCCUCAAGCUCUGCUUGGUGUUGGGUGUUUGUCCUCUCCCUCGUGUUUGGACUCGCCUUAAAAUAAUUGGCAGCCAGUGUUUUGGUAUUGAAGCGCAGCACAAGUCGCGAUUCGUACCCAACGCUUGCGUCCACAAGCCUUUUUUAACUUUUGACCUCGGAUCAGGUAGGGAUACCCGCUGAACUUAA
rnacentral:misc_RNA from 1 species